GACGAACGCUUGCGGCGUGCCUAAGAAAUGCAAGUCGAGCGAGGUUUAGGCUUCGGCCGACGACCUAGCGGCGAACGGUCGCGUAACACGUAAGCAACCUGCCCUAAAGUUGGGGAUAGCCCGCCGAAAGGCGGAUUAAUACCGAAUGUGGAUAUGUAUUCGCAUGUAUAUAUAUCUGAAGCAGCGAUGCGCUUUAGGAUGGGCUUGCGGCCUAUCAGUUAGUUGGUGUGGGUAACGGCCUACCAAGACGACGACGGGUAGCUGGUCUGAGAGGAUGGUCAGCCGGAUUGGGACUGAGACACGGCCCAGACUCCUACGGGGGCAGCAAUUAGGAAUCUUGCGCAAUGGGCGAAAGCCUGACGCAGCGACGCCGCGUGACUGAUGAAGUCUUUCGAGAUGUAAAGGUCUUUUGUUGGGGACGAAGGAAGUUGACGGUUACCCGACGAAUAAGCCCCGGCUAACUACGUG
rnacentral:rRNA from 1 species